rnacentral:rRNA from 1 species
GACGAACGCUGGCGGCGUGCUUAACACAUGCAAGUCGAACGGAAAGGCCCUGCUUUUGUGGGGUGCUCGAGUGGCGAACGGGUGAGUAACACGUGAGUAACCUGCCCUUUACUUUGGGAUAACUUCAGGAAACUGGGGCUAAUACCGGAUAGGAGCUCCUGCUGCAUGGUGGGGGUUGGAAAGUUUCGGCGGUUGGGGAUGGACUCGCGGCUUAUCAGCUUGUUGGUGGGGUAGUGGCUUACCAAGGCUUUGACGGGUAGCCAGCCUGAGAGGGUGACCGGCCACAUUGGGACUGAGAUACGGCCCAGACUCCUACGGGAGGCAGCAGUGGGGAAUAUUGCACAAUGGGCGGAAGCCUGAUGCAGCAACGCCGCGUGCGGGAUGACGGCCUUCGGGUUGUAAACCGCUUUCGCCUGUGACGAAGCGUGAGUGACGGUAAUGGGUAAAGAAGCACCGGCUAACUACGUG